rnacentral:lncRNA from 1 species
AUGGCCGUCUGCCUGCUCCUGCUGAUGGCCCUGCUGGUCCAGGGCCAGAAGCCCUCUGUUUCCCAGCCCCCCAGGCUCAGCCUGAUGGUGGAGGCCUUCUGGCCUUCAGUGUGCAGGAUGGCAGCCCACAGGGCCUGGACCUGGACAACAGCCCCGUGCUCCAAGACUGGGUGACUGCCACAGAUAUUCGCAUAGUACUCACAAGGCCUGCCAUUCAGGGAGACACCAGGGACGGUGGGGUCACAGUCCCCUACUCCUACUCAGCCACUGAGCUUCAGGUGGGAGGUCGAUGCAAGUGCAAUGGGCAUUCCUCACGGUGUCUGAUGGACACCCAUGGCCACCUGGUCUGCGACUGCCAGCAUGGUACAGAGGGCCCUGAUUGCAGCCGCUGCAAGCCCUUCUACUGCGACAGGCCAUGGCAGCGGGCUACAGGGCAGGAAGCCCACGCUUGCCUUGGUGAGGCCUUGGAGGGUAGCCUGGGGACUUCCGGCCAGGCAGGGCUGCCCCUGACUGUUCCUUCCCUGCAGCUUGCUCCUGCAAUGGCCACGCCCGAAGAUGCCGCUUCAACAUGGAGCUGUACCGACUGUCCGGCCGCCGCAGUGGUGGGGUGUGCCUCAAUUGCCGGCACAAUACUGCUGGUCGUCACUGCCACUACUGUCGGGAGGGCUUCUAUCGUGACCCAGGCCGUGUCCUGAGUGACCGUCGUGCUUGCAGAGCUUGUGACUGCCACCCAGUUGGUGCUGCUGGCAAAACCUGUAACCAGACCACAGGCCAGUGUCCCUGUAAGGAUGGU